CAGCCGCCACGGGAAUACGUAGGUGGCAAGCGUUGUCCGGAAUUAUUGGGCGUAAAGGGCUCGCAGGCGGUUUCUUAAGUCUGAUGUGAAAGCCCCCGGCUCAACCGGGGAGGGUCAUUGGAAACUGGGAGACUUAGAGUGCAGAAGAGGAGAGUGGAAUUCCAUGUGUAGCGGUGAAAUGCGUAGAUAUAUGGAGGAACACCAGUGGCGAAGGCGACUCUCUGGUCUGUAACUGACGCUGAGGCGCGAAAGCGUGGAGAGCGAACAGGAUUAGAUACCCCCGUAGUCCCUGUCUCUUAUU
rnacentral:rRNA from 1 species